rnacentral:rRNA from 1 species
UACGUAGGGGGCAAGCGUUGUCCGGAAUUAUUGGGCGUAAAGAGCUCGUAGGCGGUCUGUAGCGUCGGCUGUGAAAUCCCGAGGCUCAACCUCGGGUCUGCAGUCGAUACGGGCAAACUAGAGUAUUGCAGGGGAGACUGGAAUUCCUGGUGUAGCGGUGAAAUGCGCAGAUAUCAGGAGGAACACCGGUGGCGAAGGCGGGUCUCUGGGCAAUAACUGACGCUGAGGAGCGAAAGCGUGGGGAGCGAACAGG